rnacentral:lncRNA from 1 species
UCCUUUACGUACACACUUGUAUAAAAUUUGAAAAAUAAUAUUUUCUAAUUAUUGAUUGAAUGUAUUCAAACAAUUAAUCACAAGUAACUAUCUAAAUUGGUGACAUUUGGCAACAGUGAGUAGAUCUGGUUUAUUUAAAUAGUAUGUUUAUUCCAAACAUAACCUUAUAAACAAACAGUUGUUUAUUUUAGAGUUAUUUAUUAUUGUUUUCUCAUAUUUUGCAAUUGUUAAGUUGGUUUACUUCGAAUUUAAUAUGCAUUACUGUGGUAUUUCUCCAGUUUUCUAAGAAGGUUGGUGAUUUUGAAUUGGGAUUAUGAUGAAUUUAACCCAAAGGCAAUGUGUGUUUAUUUAUGUGGCAAAAUUCCAGGCACCAUAAAAAUUUGAGUUUCUUCCUGUUGCCCAUGGAUGAAAAUCGGUUUGCAGAAUGAAAAGAAAUUGUUCAAUGUGAUAAACUUUCUAUGAACAGUCCUCAAUAUUGUUACAUUAACUUUUAAAUAUGCACUUUACAUCUUGAGGAGCAGGCCUUUGCAGAAAUACUGAAAAAACGCAAAAUAAAAUAAACGAAAUAUGUCUUGAGAUUAAACAUUCAAGUUGAAGGUGUGUUCUUUCUUCCUUAAACUGGAAUGAUAAUUUUGUAAUUCUUUAGGCACAUCUAUUGAGAAGUUACAACCAGUGGCAAAGUGCCUUAAGGGAAUCUAUGACAUAUAUAUAAUUGAAGGGACAUCUCCUCUGAAGGAAUUACAAUUAUUUGCCAGUAUGUCAAAUGAAUUUUCAACAUCAGUCAUACUUUCAUGAAUUUAUUGAUGAAAAUAAAACUAGGUACAUGAUUUAUUUACUUCCAAGGGAUUCUAAGAUACCAUGUGUAAAAAGUCCAAUAUGCAGUGAUGAGCAUGCUAAUAACUGGCAAAAUAUGGGAUAUAACGCCAAAGAUGGGAAACAUGGGAUGCAUUCUGAAGUAAAAAGAGAUGAAACUGAGAGAAAUUAUCGAUAUAAACAUAUAAAUUAACAUUACAUUACAUAGUUUCCCACCUUGAGACGUAUCAGAUGAGUAUGAGAACUGUCACUGUGACAGAGAAUUUUAUAAAAUACUCCUGUCACAAAGGUGGGAAACUAUGUAAUGUUAUCGUCGGCUAAGAGUGUUAACCUGCCAACUCCAUUUUUCACUGUGAGUGAUAUUGGGGUAGUUUCUAGGUCUGUGUACCUUCAUACCAUGUCCCACAAGCCCGCUGGUUCCACUGUAGUUUAGAGAUAGCUAUUUCUAAACUACAUUGGUGUCGGCGGGUUUGUGGGGUGGUGUAUGAAAAUACACAGACCCAGAAACUAGCCCAAUAUCACUCAAAGUGAAAAAUGGAGUUAGCAGGUUAAAACUCUUAUCCAAGGUUAUGUUAAUUUAUUCGUUUAUAACGAUAAGUUCCACUUCUACCAGUUUCAUCUCUUUUUAUCUCACAAGUUAAUAUGUUUUCCAUCUUUUGCGUUAUUUUGCCGGUUAUUAGUGUGAGUGCUCAUUACUGUAUAUUUACGAUUCUGUGAUUUCUCAAUAUAAUGCUGAGUAGGUAUAGAUGAGCAUCUACAACCCUUUCAAAACAGAAAUUUAUAAGUUCAUUUUAUGUACCUAUUAAACUUUAUUUUAAGGAUGAAUUUGAAAUGCUUGUAGGGAAUAUAUCUGUAAAAAUAAAAUUGGUAUUAUAAAAUUGAAAUUCUCAAAAUAUAAUUUAUAAUUCGAA